rnacentral:rRNA from 1 species
CCUACGGGAGGCAGCAGUGAGGAAUAUUGGUCAAUGGACGCGAGUCUGAACCAGCCAAGUAGCGUGAAGGAUGACUGCCCUAUGGGUUGUAAACUUCUUUUAUGUGGGAAUAAACUGUUCCACGUGUGGGAUUUUGUAUGUACCGUAUGAAUAAGGAUCGGCUAAUUCCGUGCCAGCAGCCGCGGUAAUACGGAGGAUCCGAGCGUUAUCCGGAUUUAUUGGGUUUAAAGGGAGCGUAGGUGGAUGGUUAAGUCAGCGGUCAAAUGUCGGUGCUCAACACCGGCCUGCCGUUGAAACUGGUCUGCUUGAGUGAGCUAGAGGUAUGCGGAAUGCGUGGUGUAGCGGUGAAAUGCAUAGAUAUCACGCAGAACUCCGAUUGCGAAGGCAGCAUACCGGCGCUCAACUGACGCUGAGGCACGAAGGCGUGGGGAUCGAACAGGAUUAGAUACCCUGGUAGUC